rnacentral:rRNA from 1 species
GACGAACGCUGGCGGCGUGCUUAACACAUGCAAGUCGAACGGAAAGGCCUCUGCUUGCAGGGGUACUCGAGUGGCGAACGGGUGAGUAACACGUGGGUGAUCUGCCCUGCACUUCGGGAUAAGCCUGGGAAACUGGGGCUAAUACCGGAUAGGACCAUGGUUUGCAUGCUGUUGUGGAGGGUGUUUCGGCGGGGGAGGAGCUCGCCGCGUCUCAGCUGUUUGGUGGGGUGAUGGCCUACCACAGAGUCGACGGGUGGAAGGCGCAAGAGGGUGUAGGGGCACAUUUGGGGAGUGAUACAGCCCACACACCCACGGGGGACGGAGCUGGGGGAUAUUUCACAAAGGGGGCAGACCUGAGGCAGCGACACCCCGUGUGGGAUGUCACCCUUCGCGUGGUAUACACCUUUCGCGAGGGACACAGCGUGUGUGUGACGGUAACUGGUAAAGAAGCACCGGCUAACUACGUG